AACAACCUCCAGCAGGAGUCAGAUCCCCUGUCCCUGUUGUUGCUGCCUGCUUCAGGAGGGAGGAUCAAGCCCACUCUGGCUUUUACUUCUUCUCUUCGCGCUCUCCAGGAGGAUGGCUAAAGCCAGCAUCUCUCUGCGCUCCCUGAACGAGACGUUAAACAGGUACUGUGCAAAUGGUAUCAAGCACCAGCUGAUGGACUUGGUAAGAGACUGCUCCUCUGGUCAAGAUACUAACGUUGUUCACCAACGGGUUUUAUAACUCGGGACUCACAGAACGGUAACCACAAAAACUAGAGACCUGACCAGAGAGAGAAACAAACACGGGAACCACCCCUGAAAGGAAAAGUGAAAACUAAGUCUGUGGGAAACUGAUUGAAGAAGUGUGCAUCUAACUGGUACCAUGAAGUGAGUGUACAGGAAGAGCUGUGGAGAAGUGUGGGGCUCUGCGUUGGCCUGGAAAAUAAAACCAAUGUGACAGCUCUAAAG